AUUGCCUUUAGUAACGGCGAGUGAAGCGGCAAAAGCUCAGAUUUGAAAUCUGGUGUCAAAUUGAUACCCGAGUUGUAAUCUGUAGAGGAGUUUUUCGGAGUAUGGCUUUGGUUGAAGUUCCUUGGAAAAGGGCAUCAUAGAGGGUGAGAAUCCUGUUUAUGACCAGUGUCUGUCUCCAUUAUGAAUCUCCUUCAAUGAGUCGAGUUGUUUGGGAAUGCAGCUCUAAAUGGGUGGUAAAUUCCAUCUAAAGCUAAAUAUUGGCAAGAGACCGAUAGCGCACAAGUAGAGUGAUCGAAAGAUGAAAAGAACUCUGAACAGAGAGUUAAAGAGUACGUGAAAUUGUUGAAAGGGAAGCACUUGUGACCAGACAAAUUUACAGUUAAUCAGCCAUCAAUUUUUGGUGGUGCACUUAAUUGUAGAUGGGUCAGCAUCAGUUAUAGUAGUGGAAUAAAGAUCAAAGGAAUGUAGCUCCUCUUUGAGGAGUGUUAUAGCCUUUGGUUCAAUACCGCUGGCCAUGACUGAGGAUAGCACUUCCAGUAAGGAUGCUGACAUAAUGGUCAUAAGUGACCCGUCUUGAAACACGGACCAAGGAGUCUAACAUCUAUGCGAGUGUUUGGGUUCAAGCCCUUAUGCAAAAUGAAAGUGAAUGGAGGUGGAAACCAUUUGGUGCACCAUCGACCGAUCCUGAAGUUUUCUGAUGGAUUUGAGUAGGAGCAUAGCUGUUGGGACCCGAAAGAUGGUGAACUAUGCCUGAAUAGGGUGAAGCCAGAGGAAACUCUGGUGGAGGCUCGCAGCGGUUCUG
rnacentral:rRNA from 1 species